AUUGAACGCUGGCGGAAUGCUUUACACAUGCAAGUCGAGCGGCAGCGCGGCCUUCGGGCUGGCGGCGAGCGGCGAACGGGUGAGUAAUGCAUCGGAACAUGCCCAGUCGUGGGGGAUAACACUUCGAAAGAAGUGCUAAUACCGCAUACGUCCUGAGGGGGAAAGCGGGGGAUCGCAAGACCUCGCGCGAUUGGAGUGGCCGAUGUCAGAUUAGCUAGUUGGUGGGGUAAAGGCCUACCAAGGCGACGAUCCGUAGCUGGUCUGAGAGGAUGAUCAGCCACACUGGGACUGAGACACGGCCCAGACUCCUACGGGAGGCAGCAGUGGGGAAUUUUGGACAAUGGGGGCAACCCUGAUCCAGCCAUUCCGCGUGAGUGAAGAAGGCCUUCGGGUUGUAAAGCUCUUUCGGCAGGAACGAAACGGUGGGCUCUAACAUAGUCCGCUAAUGACGGUACCUGAAGAAGAAGCACCGGCUAACUACGUG
rnacentral:rRNA from 1 species